rnacentral:lncRNA from 1 species
GUAUGUAUGUUCUCAUUUGUGUCAUUUCUGUCUCUUCUCACUUCUCAGUUCUCAGUUCUCUCUACUGUCAAGUCUCUGUCUCUAGAGAAACCCUAACAAGUAAUACCUAGCAGCCACCGCCCGACGCAAGCAGCAGCCGCCGCCCGGUGCAAGCAGCAGCCACCGCCCGUCGGUCUUCCCCUCGCAGGUAAUAACAUUCCUUAGCCACUUGAUAUAUUUUGAUUUGAGAUAGAUAUAAAUCAAUUGAAGAAGAGAACUUUUUUGGUGUAGACUGAGUCUGAGAUACCCUUUUUAUUUCAAUUAGUUUACAACUUGAUGUCUUUAUUAUCACUCCUUUUCUUUUGUUGGUGUAGUGACUCAUACAUGGUUGAAAAUAUACAAAGUGAUAAGGUGAUGAUGGGUGAAAGUGGGGCUUCUAAUUCAAAUGCAAUAAGUCAAGCUCAAACAACAGAUUCAAAUAUAACCAAAAAAAGGAGAAAAAUAUCAGUUGUGUGGGAUCAUUUUGCAGAAAUUGUUACUUCUAAAGGGAGUACAAAAGUAAAAUGUGACUAUUACUUUCAUGAGUAUGUAUUUAAGACCAAGGAUGGUACAUCGAAACUUCUUAAGCUUAUGCUUAAGUGUCCUAAACGCCCUGCUAUUAUUGAUAAAAAAUAAUCAAAUUUAGGCUUUCAAUCUGCUCCGGGGGUAGUCAGGGUGACGUAGUUGUUGUUACUUGGAAAUUUGAUCAAGAAGAAUGUAGGAAGGCAUUAUGUCGUACGAUAAUAGUUGAUGAGCUUCCUUUUAGCUUUGUUGAGAAAGAAGGUUUUAGAGACUUUAUGAAUGUGGCGCAACCUUAUUUUCGGAUCCCUUCACUUAGUAAUGUAACUAGAGAUUGUUUUGAUCUUUUUAAUGAAGAAAAGUAAAAGUUGAAGAGGCUCUUUAUAGAAACAAAACAAAGAGUAUGUAUUGCCGCUGAUACCUGAACAUCUAUACAAAGAAUCAAUUACAUGUGUAUCACUUCUCAUUGGAUUGAUAGUGAAUGUAAUAUGCAUAAGAGAAUAAUUAAUUUUUGUCCUAUUGUUAGUCAUAAAGGCGAAGAUAUGGCAAAUAGUAUUGGUAGGUGCUUACGUGAGUGGGGGAUAAAUAAGAUCUUCACUGUCACAGUUGAUAAUGCAAGCUCAAAUGAUGUGACAGUAAAGGAAUUUUCUAAGCAAUUAACAAAAAUAGGAACUAAUUUGAUGAAUGACACUCACCUUCACGUGAGAUGUAUGGCUCACAUCAUGAAUCUUGUGGUCCAGGAUGGUUUAAAAGAAUCUUCAGUAUCUAUUGAACGUGUUAGGCAUGCGGUAAGAUAUGUUAGGAUGUCUCCUUCAAGGUUAAAGAGGUUUCAAGAAUGUUUUGAUGUUGAAAAACUCAAUUCUAAGAAACUUUGUGCUUAGAUCUCCCAACUAGAUAGAAUUCCACCUACUUGAUGUUGCGCGUGAGAUGUAUUAGGCAGUCUCCUGCAAGGUUGAGAGGUUUCCAGAUUGUUUGAUGCUGAACAACUCAAUUCUAAGAAAAGUUUAUGCUUAGAUGUUCCAACUAGAUGGAGUUUCACCUACUUGAUAUUGCGUAGGGUUGUUGAAUUUGAAAAUACAUUUUCACAUUAUGCUUCUAGUGAAAUUGUCUUGAGACAUUAUCUUGAGCAUUCUUAUAUUGAUGUUGGAAUUCCUACAGGUGAACUUUUGAGCAGUGAUUGGGAGAGUGUAAAAAGAAUUACAAGGUUUCUUGAAAUCUUCUAUCUUCUUACUUUAUGGAUCACGUUAUGUUACAUCAAAUAUUCAUUUCCUUGAAACUUGUGCAGUCACUGUCUAUUUGAAGCAAUUGAUAGAAAAUGAAGAUAUAGUUUUAAGUGAAAUGGCAAAGAAUAUGAAAGAAAAGUUUGAUAAGUAUUGGGGUGAUACAGGGAAAAUGAACAAGAUAAUUUUUAUCUCAUGUAUUUUGGAUCACGUUUCAAAAUCAAAUCAGUUGGCUUUGCACUUGUAAAGAUGUUUUGGUGUAGGUCCGCGGGCAACUAUACAAGUAGAAGUGAUGAAGUACAUGGCUUCAUUUUUCAGUGGGUUCCAACUCAAAAGGUUUUGUGCUUGCUUCAUCUUCAAAUUGUUCUUCAUUGGACACUUCAACUUCUGGGCUUUCUGGCAGUCAAGCAAACACCCAACAAAAUAGGACUUUUAGAAUCACUCAUGCAAGAUAUAAAAAAUUAUCAAAGUGGGAGUGGAGGUGUUGAUACUAGAAUAGAGUUAGAUAAAUAUUUAGGUGAAGAAACUGAGAACGACACUAAAUAAUUUGAUGUUCUUCUUUGGUGGAAAUUGAACUCGGCUAGAUUUCCUAUUCUUACGGAGAUGGCUCGUGAUAUUAGCUGUUCUGCUUUCAAGUGUGGCAUCCGAAUGUGUGUUUAGUACAGGAGGACGUAUUCUUGAUUCAUUUAGGAGUUCAUUAACUACUAAAUUGGUGCAAGCUCUAGUGUGUCUUCAAGAUUGGCUUCGAAAUGAAAAUUUAAAACAACCCAUUAGUGUUGAGGAAGAUUUUUGUAAAAUUGAGCAUCUUGAACAAGGUAAUAAUAUUGUCAAUAUAUUUGUUGUAUAUAAAUGUUGUUGAUAUGCUUAUAUUAUCACGUUACUCAUUAUUCUAAAUUUCUUCUUCAGAUUUAGCUAGCAAUGGAAAAGACCCUUUUGUAAUUGACAUGUAGUCUAUUCUAUUUACUGUUGUAUUUACUGUUGAAGUUCCUGAAUUUGUAUCACGUAAGAAUUCGAAUUUAAGAAUUUACUGAUGUAUCUAUUGUAUUCAUGUAAGAAUUCGAAUUUUACUAGCAGCUGCAACCUUUAACUUAAUGAAUAGUCUUCUGGACGUGUCAUCUCUGCUUAUAUUCUCAAUAAGUUCAAAAGUUGCUUGUUUUCCAUUCAUUUGAACUCCAAACUUAAUGAAAAGACUUCAGAAGUCAUUACUGUAGCCAAGUUGUUGAAACCUCAAAUGUGAAAGUUCAUUUGCAUUAGUUUUUUAUAUGCUAAACUCAGCUUGAGCGUGUAAAUUAUUUAUAACACCAUUUAUUUUUUCAGCCUUGGGAAUGUUUGUCUUCUUCGGUGUUGUACUACUACCUGUUACUUCUACCAGUUGCUUCAACUGAUCAUAGUAUAAAGGCAGCCAAUACCACCAGCAAGCUAAACCAUUUUUCUUCUUUUCAGCAUGUUGAAGUUGAUUGUUGAGCGCCCCCUGAUUCAAGUAAAAUGGAAUUGGACAAUAUAAUUGAAGUAUGAGCUGUGUUCCUCCUAUUACAGAAAGUAUGGGACUGGAUUUCUUUUGUGUUUUUCAUGUAAUUGAAAUAGGAGAAGAAGUAUAAAUAGACCUGGACAAUGUAGCAAACACAAAAUGUGUACAAUUUGUAAAUUUCUUCUGCUUUUUACACUUUUAGCAUUGUACAAGUACUGUAAUUCGGUAUAACAUUGCAACAACAAUUUACGGCAGUAAAAAAA